rnacentral:rRNA from 1 species
GAUGAACGCUGGCGGCGUGCUUAACACAUGCAAGUCGAACGAAGAUGCCGGAGUGCUUGCACUUUGGCAGACUGAGUGGCGGACGGGUGAGUAACGCGUGGGUAACCUGCCUUAUACAGGGGGAUAACAGUUGGAAACGACUGCUAAUACCGCAUAAGCGCACGGUAUCGCAUGAUACAGUGUGAAAAACUCCGGUGGUAUAAGAUGGACCCGCGUCUGAUUAGCUAGUUGGUGGGGUAACGGCCUACUAAGGCGACGAUCAAUAGCCGACCUGAGAGGGUGACCGGCCACAUUGGGACUGAGACACGGCCCAAAACUCCUACGGGAGGCAGCAGUGAGGAAUAUUGGUCAAUGGACGAGAGUCUGAACCAGCCAAGUAGACGUGAAGGAUGAAGGUACCUACGGAUUGUAAACUUACUUUUA